rnacentral:rRNA from 1 species
ACGUAGGAGGCGAGCGUUAUCCGGAAGCACUGGGCGAAAAGCGCGUGCAGGCGGUUCGGUAAGUUGGGCGUGAAAUCUCCCUUGUCCCCUUUUCUCUUUCUUUCAAUACUACCGGACUUGAGAGCGAUAGAGGAAAAUGGAAUUCCCGGUGUAGUGGUGAAAUGCGUAGAUAUCGGGAGGAACACCAGUGGCGAAAGCGAUUUUCUGGAUCGUUUCUGACGCUCAGACGCGAAAGCUAGGGUAGCAAACGG